rnacentral:rRNA from 1 species
AGAGUUUGAUCCUGGCUCAGAAUCAACGCUGGCGGCGUGCCUCAGACAUGCAAGUCGAACGAUUAAAGCUCUCUUCGGAGAGUGCAUAGAGUGGCGCACGGGUGAGUAACACGUAAGUAAUCUACCCUCGAGUGGGGAAUAACGUCCGGAAACGGACGCUAAUACCGCAUAAUGCAGCGGCACCGCAAGGUGACAGUUGUUAAAGGAGAAAUUCGCUUGAGGAGGAGCUUGCGGCAGAUUAGCUAGUUGGUAAGGUAAUGGCUUACCAAGGCUACGAUCUGUAACCGGUCUUAGAGGACGGUCGGUCACACUGACACUGAAUAACGGGUCAGACUCCUACGGGAGGCAGCAGUCGGGAAUUUUGGGCAAUGGGCGAAAGCCUGACCCAGCAACGCCGCGUGAAGGAUGAAGUAUUUCGGUAUGUAAACUUCGAAAGAAUAGGAAGAAUCAAUGACGGUACUAUUUAUAAGGUCCGGCUAACUACGUGCCAGCAGCCGCGGUAAUACGUAGGGACCAAGCGUUGUUCGGAUUUACUGGGCGUAAAGGGCGCGUAGGCGGCGCGGUAAGUCACUUGUGAAAUCUCUGAGCUUAACUCAGAACGGCCAAGUGAUACUGCAGUGCUAGAGUGUGGAAGGGGCAAUCGGAAUUCUUGGUGUAGCGGUGAAAUGCGUAGAUAUCAAGAGGAACACCUGAGGUGAAGACGGGUUGCUGGGCCAACACUGACGCUGAGGCGCGAAAGCCAGGGGAGCAAACGGGAUUAGAUACCCCGGUAGUCCUGGCCCUAAACGAUGAAUACUUGG